rnacentral:rRNA from 1 species
UGGGGAAUUUUGGACAAUGGGGGAAACCCUGAUCCAGCCAUCCCGCGUGUGCGAUGAAGGCCUUCGGGUUGUAAGGCACUUUUGGCAGGAAAGAAACGUCAUGGGUUAAUACCCCGUGAAACUGACGGUACCUGCAGAAUAAGCACCGGCUAACUACGUGCCAGCAGCCGCGGUAAUACGUAGGGUGCAAGCGUUAAUCGGAAUUACUGGGCGUAAAGCGUGCGCAGGCGGUUCGGAAAGAAAGAUGUGAAAUCCCAGAGCUCAACUUUGGAACUGCAUUUUUAACUACCGGGCUAGAGUGUGUCAGAGGGAGGUGGAAUUCCGCGUGUAGCAGUGAAAUGCGUAGAUAUGCGGAGGAACACCGAUGGCGAAGGCAGCCUCCUGGGAUAACACUGACGCUCAUGCACGAAAGCGUGGGGAGCAAACAGG